GUGCUCUUUUCCACGGCACACAUACUAAAAUAGGAAUGAUACAGAGAAGAUUACCAUGGCUCCGGUGCAAGGAUGACACACACAUUUGUGAAGCAUUAAAAGAAAAA
ensembl:snRNA U6 U6 spliceosomal RNA